UUUAUCCAUCUGAAUAAUUCUUUAUUCGAAUGAGAGGAAGAAUAGAAUAAAAAUUGUAAAAUCAUUCGAAAUCCAGUAAAUUCAGUGCUAAGUGUUCCGUCACCUGGACCUUGCAAUAAAAAUACUAAUAAUUGUCAAAACGUGUCGUAAGCUAACGAACAAUUGAAGCUUAGUGGACUCUUGAAAUAAAGAGGUCACCGGCAGCAAAGAAGAAGGCUUGGUAGCUCGCCGGAAGUAAUUACACCGUUAGCGGAUUAAAAAUAGAAGGAAGAAGGUCGAGUCCCGGAAAUAUUGCACCUGCAGGGACAAGGAUCGCCGCGGCGCCCGGUUUCCUCGAGGAAAUUCGAGAUAGGGAGGGGCUGCGGUCCGGCCCGACCACGUUCUUAACGUUUUUCGCCUAACCCGUUGGUCCUCUUGCUCCCCGUUGCCCUCGAAACGGCGAUGCCGCGGCAUCGCAUCGGGUAUCGAGUCGGGCAACGCGCCAAAUCACACCCCGGGGAAGAUAGAAAAAAGAAAAAAGACCGAGCGCAGAGAGGCCAGAGGGGGAUGAAAGCGUCGGGAAAAUCUCUUCUGCAUUCCUGGCCGUAUUUUUUGCGAGUCGCGCGGAGCCCAUCGAAAUUCGGCGGGGACACGCCUUCGAAUAUGAAAUCGCCGUGGCUGCCGGGUAAUGCGAAAUUCGGAGGCCUAAUCGAAUCGAAUCGAAUCGAAUCGAAUCGAAUUGUCAACGGAAGUGUUGCCGCAUUAGGCCGUCGGAAAAUCAAUUGUCGAUUCACAGUGGCUCGCGAGAAUGUUCCGCAAUCCUUUAAAACGUAAUAACUUUCUUCAAGUUGCACCAAAUCAUCUGCUUUUCGUCGAGAUGUCGAAGAGAUUAGUUUUCUUGGCAAUAUCUGAAAAUAUUUUCUGAGAAAUUGCGACUGAACAUUGCAACUGCUUUUGACGAGUAUACUCGUUGUGAAGAAAUGGCAGCAUUUUUUUGUUGUGACCAGUGUACUCGUCGAAAACAGCGAACAGAUUUAAAAGGAUGUAUGCUUUGAUAUUUUUUUAUUAAAUCAUAUGUUUUGUGAAAGUGUGCGUUUAAAGAAAAUAUGAAGAAAAUCGAGCAUGCGUCGAAGAUCGUGAAAAAUUGCAAUUUUCCCAAUCUUUAAUCGUCAUUUUCAGCAUGCAACUAUAUGACAGAGACAUAUAAAACGCAUUGUUUAAAUUUUCGUUCCAAGUUCAGGUAAAAAGGUUAAAAGACACGAGAUUUUUACAUGUUUCGUUGUCAUUCUAACUAAAUGCAAUUUUACAGAAAAGUUAAGGCAUCGUCUAGUGAACUAAUCUCCCUAACGUCUCAACAAAAUUUAAGCGAUCUGGUUAAAUUAAUGUUAUCCCUACUUAAAAGCUUAUAAAAGUUUACGAACGUUUUCGUUGAGCCACUGUAUGUACUCGAGCUCGAAACAUCGCAACGUAAACGUGCUGUAUAAAAGAAAAGACUCUCCGUCUCAUUUUUAGAGAGCGAUGAAGAUUUUUUUAACGGCCCGCAGACAAUAGAAAAUAAGACAACAACAAACGUUCCAAACAUUGGAAGGUAAACUUUUGGAUUAUAAAAUGGAUGUUCCAUCUGGCUGGAAAGUUCGAAGCCUUUGUACAACGAUAAGAGCAUCGUUGCCUCGAGUCUUGACUGAAUUGUGUCUAUUUUUCUCCGAAUAAUUGUCUAGAUCCCCUAAUUAGCAAAUUAUUAAAAAUUCUCGAGCUCCGUAACACUCGCAGAGCCAUCGAUGAAAAAUGUACGUGAAAGGCCAUCGGUGGGUGGUUGUGGACCCAGAUAUUUCUAUGUUAAUAUGUACGUAAAAGUGUUCAUCCACUUUUUCUUUUCUUAUAAAUAAUGAGAGAUGCAUCGUAACUACUAAAAUACACUAUUCUUUUUAUAAUUUACCUCGUAAAUAUACGUUAGAAAGAAGUUCACAAUCUAUACAUUCUACAAUUAUUGUUAUCUUCGAAUGUACAUCGCACACAAAUUGUAAAUUAAAAAAUUAGUCAUGCUAGCAGUCAUUUUGACGGAUUCGGUAAACCUAGCGUUAAGAUAGGAGUACAUUAAAAAAUAUGUCGAGCGAAAUUGGCAAGCGAAAUUUAUUGGCGAUCCUAAAAUAAGCAUACCUAGUUAUGUCUUUUCUUUUUUUUCAAAAACGUCCGCUGUUCGAGCGUUAAUUCAGAAUCGAAACUGCCUCGACGACGCCUCCGCCGAUGUUAAUCGGCGAUGUCUUCCAGAAUCGUUUGAAACAAUAGUUAAUUAUCAGAAGGGCAAAGAUCGGAGCCGAAGAAAAUGGUCCGCUACAUCGAACGUUCAUAGCGUUCGCAGCGAGCAGCCGUAGGACGUAAAAUUAUGCGAGGCUAUUUCUAAGGGUAUCAUCCAAUAGUCCGGAAUAACCGAUAAUCCGGCGCAGCACCGAAAUCCCGUUCCGCCGUCGAGCUUCCGCUGUGUAAUUGCCCGGCCGAAUCCACGAAAAUUUACGAACAGGUACUCAGCAUUAACGUCUCGCUGUAAUGUUACCAGUGUUUAAUAUCCCGCGAUUAAGUCUGCCUAUUAAAUUAAUCAUUGCGGCGCGUAAACGAUGACCCCGGCCGAAACCGGGCGGACGACAGCGCGCAGUGCAUUUUCGCUGAAACCUUCAAUCCUUCGCUUCCUUAACGAUCGUGCUAUCGGAACCGUCGAUCCACGAUCGUCGAACACAUGAAAAUACUUUCAUAGCAAUCCCGAAUUGAGCGGAUUGAAUCGGGUACGCAUGAUAUCAUCCCGCAAGCUUGCAGCAACACGGACGAGCCGUUGAACGGGCUGCAUAAUUUCCGCCGGUCGUUUUUACGGUGCGCCAAAUUCCGAAAUUCAUCCGCGAGAAUUGAAAUUCCGCGCGCGCGCGGACGUUUCGUGUUACAAACAACGACGACGAGCGCAUCGCGGCUUUCGAUAAAAAUGAGCUCACGGACUCCGCGAUUUCCCACGGUAACCCGAUAUUCGCAGAAAAUUGAUUUACCAACUUCCGGCACGAUAACAGCGUUUUCCAAGCGUGAAUUUUCUUUUCCCCGGUAAAAUAGCCUUUCACGGGGAAUUAAAUACUUAGCUGGGAAACCAGAGCGCGAUACGCGGCGAAAAGAAAAUAAAGACGUCGACCGUCCGCGACUCCGUUCGACAGGGAAUAUCCGAAAGAAAAUCAAGCGGACGUUCUCGCGCGGACGUGUCCGGCACGUCGCCGUCGCGCGCUGUGAUAAUAUUUUACUAUCGACGCGCGAACGUCGGGAAUUCGGGCCCGGGUUCGGUUCGGGCCGGGCCGGGCCGGGUCGCGCGACUCUGUAUUUUCUUGGAGCUCUUACGUUUCCAAUAAAUUUCGACGAGUCGCGGAGUCCUUCAGCCGUGAAGUGA